UGUUUUUGUUCUUGUUCUUGACAUUCAAUCUCAAGCUUUAAUUCCUCAAGUUAUUGACAUUUCUCGAUUCAAUCCGCUUGCUAGACUCGUUCUUCCUUCCGUAAUAUGAUGAAUUGGCCCUCUUUCUUGUAAGCUUCUAUGAUGUGAAUUGAUAUGAGAGGUUAGAAGGGAACUCCUUCAGUGUUUGCCCACAUUCUCUACUUAUGGAGACUGAAAUUAGGUCAAUAAACGCGUCAAAAUUAGUUUUCGAGAAGAGUUUUGAUAAAAAUGGAAGCAGCGAUUUCACUUAGACUCACAUGGGGGUUCUUCAUUAUUUAUAGUCGCACAGUGCCGAUGAAAUAGGCCCUGUCAAGGGGUGCGAUCAUACCAUAAAAAAAAAAUUGGAAAAGUGCAAUUUGGUCCUUGAUUUUAUCUGUUGUGUAGCUUGAAUCCUUUUUACGUGUAUUUUUCAUCAUCUGCCUUCUAAUAUCAUCCAAUUGAUCUCCGAAUCAAUGAUCUCCAAUCAUUAUUUUAUCGUCCGAAUCAAUUUUUGGAUAUUUAUAAAUUGAUCUCUGAACUUUGG
rnacentral:lncRNA from 1 species